rnacentral:rRNA from 1 species
GAUGAACGCUAGCUACAGGCUUAACACAUGCAAGUCGAGGGGCAGCAUGAAAGGAACUUCGGUUCUUUUUGAUGGCGACCGGCGCACGGGUGCGUAACGCGUAUCGAACCUGCCUCAUACUCGGGGAUAGCCUUGCGAAAGUAAGAUUAAUACCCGGCGGUCUCGGAUGGCCGCAUGAUUGUCCGAGUGAAGAUUUAUCGGUAUGAGAUGGCGAUGCGUCCCAUUAGCUAGUUGGUGAGGUAACAGCUCACCAAGGCAUCGAUGGGUAGGGGUUCUGAGAGGAAGGUCCCCCACAUUGGAACUGAGACACGGUCCAAACUCCUACGGGAGGCAGCAGUGAGGAAUAUUGGUCAAUGGACGAAAGUCUGAACCAGCCAAGUAGCGUGCAGGACGACGGCCCUCUGGGUUGUAAACUGCUUUUAGUUGGGAAUAAAAAGAGGGACGUGUCCCUUAUUGUAUGUACCAUCAGAAAAAGGACCGGCUAAUUCCGUGCCAGCAGCCGCGGUAA